rnacentral:rRNA from 1 species
UACAGAGGGGGCAAGCGUUUGUUCGGAAUUACUGGGCGUAAAGGGCGCGUAGGCGGCCUUCUAAGUCGAACGUGAAAUCCCUGGGCUCAACCCAGGAACUGCGUCCGAUACUGGAAGGCUUGAAUCCGGGAGAGGGAUGUGGAAUUCCAGGUGUAGCGGUGAAAUGCGUAGAUAUCUGGAGGAACACCGGUGGCGAAGGCGGCAUCCUGGACCGGUAUUGACGCUGAUGCGCGAAAGCCAGGGGAGCAAACGGG